rnacentral:rRNA from 1 species
UACGGGGGGGGCAAGCGUUGUUCGGAAUUACUGGGCGUAAAGGGCUCGUAGGCGGCCAACUAAGUCAUGCGUGAAAUCCCUCGGCUUAACCGGGGAACUGCGUCUGAUACUGGAUGGCUUGAGUUCGGGAGAGGGAUGCGGAAUUCCAGGUGUAGCGGUGAAAUGCGUAGAUAUCUGGAGGAACACCGGUGGCGAAGGCGGCAUCCUGGACCGACACUGACGCUGAGGAGCGAAAGCCAGGGGAGCAAACGGG